rnacentral:lncRNA from 1 species
AUUCAUUCCUCCAUUUACCUCUUUCCUCUUGCAUUUUCCUAUAAGCAGGAAAGAGAAACCAGGCUGCACCUUCCACAUUUUGCUAGGCAAUCUCCUCACCAAAAUAUCCAAGUUCACCCCUUGAAAGAUCGUCCGUCACAGGCCCCGGAAGAGACGUCCACUGCCUUCCAGACAAGAAAGACCACUCCAGCAACCCAGCCAACGAGAAACAGUCACCACCCUGAACAAGACCUUGUUUUCCACCAAUGGGCUUCUGUUCAAAACAACCCUCCCAACUUCCUCCUUUUUCUCUAUAAAAUAAAGUCCCUCUCCUUUGUGUGCUAGACUUGACUGUGGCUUUUGCUAUAGUGUGCUUGUCCCAAAUUGCAAUUCCUUUCCUAUUCCCAAAUAAACUGAUUUUGC